CGGGUGAGUAAUGUCUGGGAAACUGCCUGAUGGAGGGGGAUAACUACUGGAAACGGUAGCUAAUAUCGCAUAACGUCGCAAGACCAAAGAGGGGGACCUUCGGGCCUCUUGCCAUCGGAUGUGCCCAGAUGGGAUUAGCUAGUAGGUGGGGUAACGGCUCACCUAGGCGACGAUCCCUAGCUGGUCUGAGAGGAUGACCAGCCACACUGGAACUGAGACACGGUCCAG
rnacentral:rRNA from 1 species